GGGCGAUUAGCUCAGAUGGUAGAGCGCUUGCUUUACACGCAAGAUGUCGGCGGUUCGAUCCCGUCAUCGCCCACCA
rnacentral:tRNA from 1 species